UUGAAAGGGAAACGAUUGAAGUCAGUCGAGCUGGCACAAAUCAGCUUUCGCACUAAGGCAAUUGCGUCUUGGCGAGCCUUAAAACCGUCAUGGGGUAUAUAUUCCUUGUGCGGCGGUGCACUUUUGUAUCAGCUGGUUAGCAUCAAUUUCGAUUGUCAUAAAAAGGCUGUAGGGAUGUGGCUCCUUCAGGAGUGUUAUAACCUUUGGCGGAAUGUGGUGGUCGGGAUUGAGGAUUGCAACGAAUGCCUUUAGAGCUGUUCCGCCUGGCCUCGUCUCAUUGGUAUCCUGGUUAGGAUCCGCCUUUGAGCAGGCUAUAGUAUGAGCAAAUUCGUUAAGGAUGUUGACGUA
rnacentral:rRNA from 1 species